CUUCUCUAAAUCUAAUGAGAUGUGUCACUUUGGAAAGCACCAGAUUCCUGCCACUGCCAUUCAGCAAGGAAAUGGAGUGCUUGACUGGUGCUUCCCAUACACCAUCACAGAUUCACUUAGCACUUGGGCUCUUUCACCCUAUGACCCAGGGAGACGCAGGUGGUCUGAAGCCUUCACUGGGCAACUCACAGGUUUUGGCAAAACUAAAGAUCCCAAAAAUAUGUGCCCUCCCCUUCUCAGCAGCGAGGCUCGGAGAGAGAGAAGGGAGUAAACAAUUAUCGCUACCAAAUAUGGGUCUAACAGCCAGCGAUGAAGCCACGGCAGAAGCAUGUAGACAUCCUGCCGGCAGAUUCAAAGGGAUGGGGAAUUUGCAGGAGCUGGGGCAGGAUCCGGCAGGGAACAGGCAGAGGAUGGGGCAGCGUCUCCCCCAGCUUGGUUAGCUGCUUCGGCCGGGACAUGGUGGGGACCCGUGCCUUCCCCGCUUGGGGCCAGUCGCAGCCUGCAUGGGAAUCACCCCAGCGCCCCAUCCCGGGGCCUAUGGCCAGCUGUGUGCCGGGUGGGACUGUUGCAGUGACCUCCCUGGCUUCGGUAUGGCCAUGGGAAGCGCUGCGCCCUCGUGUCCCCACCCAAAACCACGCAGCAGGACACAGACACCCUUGCCACUCGCUUUUCCCCACGUCCCGGCAGGGUGAGCGGGGUGCCGGGGGAAAAGCUGCGCCUGGCCUGCCCUCAAGUCCCCACGGUCCACGGACCGUCGGACACGGCCAGGAUCGUCCAGUUCGGUCCCCAGGGACCCCCGAGGUGAGGAUGCUGGCCCGGGCCUCGCAACGGUGGACUCCAGGCCCCAGCCGGGUGAGGCAGGGCAAGGGCAGGGCCGGGGAUAACGUGGCCAUGGAUAACGUGGCCGCGCCAGCCCGUGCUGCUCCGGAGCCUCCGGUGGGCGUCGGUGCUCGGGUGGCGCCGGCCCCAGGGGCGAUCUGGGCAUGCCACAGUGAACCCCGGAAGCCCUCGGGUCACCGCAGCCCCGCGGACAAGCCCCGGCUGGAGCAGGGAAACCCCAGUAACCGGAAAGCUG
rnacentral:lncRNA from 1 species